UUUUGCUAGUCUCCAGAGCGGCCCAUCGUGAUGUUCCUCAGGACCCAGGCCUUCUUUCUCACCCGACUCGCCAGUCUCCUGGGCAAAGUCCGAGGCAGGAUAGAGGCUGGGCUGCCCUCCAAGGCCUCCGGCCCCACCCCGCGGAAGGGCCAGGACCCGCCCUCGCUACUCCAUCUUCUGCUGCUGAUAACACCACCACAAACUGGCAUGAAAGCCAGGGGUUGGCUUUGGCUGGGAUUUCUCUUCGGAGAUCAGAGGUCAAGGGCCUGCAUCUGGAGAGGCCUUCCUGCUGGCCGAGACCCAGGGCAGAGAGGGCAUCCCAUGGCCAGAGGGGGUCCUGCACCCCCAGACUGCCUGGCUGUGGCCAUCUCCACUGUGGACUGUGCCAUCCUCAGCUGCACCAUCGACCCUGGACCGUCAGGGCCGUGAGGACCGUGAGACUUACAGACCACGUGGACCCGUGGGCCCUGCCUCCUGAACAGAGCACAGCCAGGUUUUCUGCAAUGACCCAGGGCCUGCGGACCUUCCGACUGAGGGAGAACUCCUGCCUCUCUUAAGGGACAGGGAAGGGGAGAGCCAGGGCGCGGGGUCAGCCCUGUCCUCCUAUCACCCCCAAGCUAUCGCCCGGGGUGACUGGUCUCUGGGUUCAAACAUGGCCAGGAGGCGUCCUGGCCCAACCUGUCCCUGGUGCUGCAUCCAGGCUGGGACCGUCGCUGGGGUUCCUGAGCACAGCAGCCUCCCCAAGCUGCGGCCACCUCGAAGGUGCCCUCUGCUCACCGCCCGAAGAGCACACGGGCGGGAGCGUGGGAGAACUGGGCUGAGCAAGGCCCCCAGGAAAGCCACACCCCGCUGCGGGUUACGUUCCCAGUGAACGGCGCCAAACCCAGAAUCAGAGCAAAAGAUUUCCCCGUGCUUCCGGCUGGUCUUUGGGAAAAUGCUUGACUUUCCGUGGCUGAGGAGAUUCCUCUUCAAACGAAAGCCCGCCAUCUUCCUAAAGCUCAUGGUGGAGCAUGACCGGAGCCCCAGGAGCUGCUCCUGGCCGCCAAGCUGCGGAACCUUCACGCGAGGCGGCACCAGGAGGCCCACCUCCCCUGCGCCCAGCCCAGGGGUCCAGAAGGGGGCGUCCUGCUCUCGCCUUCCUGGCCCUCGAGCAGGGGCCCCCCACCACGUCACGCUCAGACCUGGGCAGAGCACGCAGGCCGUGCCUGGGGACACGCGGGACCAGCAGAAGGCCCUGCGGCAGCCCUCCCCCCAGACAGACCUCCCGCUGGCCUCCUGGGGCUGCGCCUGCCUCUAUGGCAGCGGCGUGGCGGCCUCAGGGCUCUGCCUGCACCAGGACCACCUGAGGCCGUUGUCAGAAUCCACAUUGGUAGGAAAACUCCUCUUCCGUCACCAGACCUCGUGUGACUUUUCACCACUCCUUCCUCCCUGGGAUGAGCUGAGCCUCCUCAGGGCAAUCUGAGCCUCCUCUGAUUGAUCUGAGCCUCCCUGGGGUGAUCUGAGCCUCCCUGGGGUGGGCUGAGCCUCCUCAGGGUGAUCUGAGCCACCCUGGAGUGAGAUGAGCCUCAGGCUUUGGUAGCACAAAGGCUGCCAUAGACUAUGCAUAAAUAGAUGAGCUCGUCUGUUGAGAAACCGUACUUAUAAAACAGAGAGCCCCUGGGCCCGUUGCUGAUUCCUGACAUAAGAGAUGACUGCUCAGGAGGGUCACCCAGACCACACUGCGGUCUCCUGGAAUGAGAAAUAAAUUUCCACAUUUCUGAUCCACUAAGAUGGGGAGUUGUUUGUCAUUGCAGCAUAACCUAACCUGUCCUGACUGAUACAGAGUCCUCAUCUUAUCUUCUUCAAUCCUAAAUUUUCAGGUGUCAACUCUGGUGCCAUUUUUCACUGAUAUGUAUUAGCUGCACACACUGAUGGGGUUCAGUGUGACAUUUCCAUCCAUGCAUAGAGUAUACACCAGCAUACCCCCUUCAAUCCUUACUCCCGCCUCUGCCCCACACCCUUCUCCAUUCAGGUCGACUUUUUAUCCUUUGCUUUUGUUAACCCACACAUCUCCACUUACUGCCCAUUUCCCCCUGCCUCUCCAGAUCACCUGACUUCCAUGUAUUUUUUUUCUUUAUUAUAGACGUGGGUUUGUUUAUAUGUCUAGUUUACAUGAAUAGAUUGACUUUUUAUUUCCAGCAAAAAUCAGAGAGUAAAAUUUGAAGAAGGGAAUGUUCAACAGAAGCACAAGACAAAUACUUUAUGUACAACGUGGUGGCUGCAGUUAAUCACAAUGUGUUGUAUUUUUAAAAAUCGCUAAGAGUACAUUUUGAGAAAAUCACUGCCAAAGAAUGACCCAGGCAGCGAGGCAAGUGUGCUUUGACUCAGUGAGCCCUCUCAGUGUGCACACUUCC